AAGUCGUAACAAGGUUUCCGUAGGUGAACCUGCGGAAGGAUCAUUAAUGAUUGGUGGCUGUUGCUGACUAGUGUUUCUAGUAUGUGCACGCCACACCUUCAAUCCCACUUACACCUGUGCACCUUCUGUAAUAGAUCUAUGUGGAUACGGAGAUAUGAAAGUUUGCGCUCUCGUACUCUGUUGAAGCAGUUCACACGUUUAUUUACUUGAACGUUAAAAAAUACAACUCUUAGCAAUGGAUAUCUUGGUUCUC
rnacentral:misc_RNA from 1 species